rnacentral:rRNA from 1 species
UGGGAUAACGUUCGGGAAACCGGAGCUAAUACCGGAUAAUAUUCGAACCGCAUGGUUCGAUAGUGAAAGGUGGUUUUGCUAUCACUUAUAGAUGGACCCGCGCCGUAUUAGCUAGUUGGUAAGGUAACGGCUUACCAAGGCGACGAUACGUAGCCGACCUGAGAGGGUGAUCGGCCACACUGGAACUGAGACACGGUCCAGACUCCUACGGGAGGCAGCAGCC